rnacentral:piRNA from 1 species
GGCAUCACACUGUGAUAGUGCCAACUGUCU